UACAGAGGUUGCAAGCGUUGUUCGGAAUUACUGGGCGUAAAGGGCGCGUAGGCGGCCAUCUAAGUCAGACGUGAAAUCCCCCGGCUUAACCUGGGAACUGCGUCUGAUACUGGAAGGCUUGAGUAUGGGAGAGGGAUGUAGAAUUCCAGGUGUAGCGGUGAAAUGCGUAGAUAUCUGGAGGAAUACCGGUGGCGAAGGCGGCAUCCUGGACCAACACUGACGCUGAGGUGCGAAAGCGUGGGUAGCGAACAGG
rnacentral:rRNA from 1 species